UCGGAUAUGGUGUAACGGCUAACAUUGCCGCCUCUCAUAUGAGAAGUGUUGGACGCUGCGCGGCAGCUCGGGGUUCGAUUCCCCGUAUCCGAA